AUGAAGUUGUUUUAUACCGGCAUUAGAAAAGUUGCUGGCGAAAGAAACCGAGCUACUGCUAUGAGUCACCACUCAAUCAGCGGUGUCAAAACUCAUUUAGUGCAUGGUAUUUUGAUUCAAGCAGCGGUUUCUGCAAAAUCACUCCUUAUGCUGUUUGUGGGAGCAGCAGGAACAUUUUCACUGCUGAACUACAUUGCCAGAGGGUGUGUCUGCCGGGUACGACACCGAAGCCCGUUUGCAGCCUUCCCGUGGAGCCCAUACGGGGUCUCGCUCCCGGUCAGUGGUGGUACUUCAGACACGAAAAAAGCAUGUGUUUCCCAUAUCGCCGUGGAGAGUGCGGCAUGAAUUCAAACUCAUUUCACACGUGUUUGACGUGCAUGAAGAGAUGUAGCGGCCGGAAUGCAGUGAGUUCAUGUCGCUUUAUGAUAGCACGCCUUUUGGCAACAGCAAAAAACAAGAGAAACAAGACAAAUGGCGAAUGAAAUAAUGCCAGGAUAUUG
rnacentral:lncRNA from 1 species